UUUUAUUGUUCUAAUAAAGGCUACAGUGUGUUUGGAGUUUUGUUUUCUUUUGUUUCUCAAUCUUAUCUGCAGAUGCUCCAGACUAAACUUGGAAUAGUUUACAGCCAAAUUCCUCCCUGCUCUUGAGCUAUGGCCCUUCUACUUUUUCACUACAGGAAGUCCCCAACUUACAACCAAUCAUUUAGCAACCCCUUUGAAGUUAUAACACUUAAAAAAAAAUGACU